AUACGGAGGGUGCAAGCGUUACUCGGAAUCACUGGGCGUAAAGCGCGCGCAGGCGGUCUUUUAAGUUGGAUGUGAAAGCCUACGGCUCAACCGUAGAACUGCAUCCAAAACUAUUAGACUAGAGUGUGGGAGAGGAAGAUGGAAUUAGUUGUGUAGGGGUAAAAUCCGUAGAGAUAACUAGGAAUACCAAAAGCGAAGGCAAUCUUCUGGAACACUACUGACGCUGAGGCGCGAAAGCGUGCGGAGCAAACAGGAUUAGAAACCCGUGUAGUCC
rnacentral:rRNA from 1 species